rnacentral:rRNA from 1 species
AUACGGAGGGUGCAAGCGUUGUUCGGAAUCACGGGGCGUAAAGCGCGCGCAGGCGGUCUUUUAAGUUGGAUGUGAAAGCCUACGGCUCAACCGUAGAACUGCAUCCAAAACUAUUAGACUAGAGUGUGGGAGAGGAAGAUGGAAUUAGUUGUGUAGGGGUAAAAUCCGUAGAGAUAACUAGGAAUACCAAAAGCGAAGGCAAUCUUCUGGAACACUACUGACGCUGAGGCGCGAAAGCGUGGGGAGCAAACAGGAUUAGAAACCCUAGUAGUCC